rnacentral:misc_RNA from 1 species
UUUCCGUAGGUGAACCUGCGGAAGGAUCAUUAAUGAAAUCCAAAUUGGUUGGUGUCCUGAUGCCAAAAGGAUUAGGCCCUUCCAUCAUUUCAUACACCUUUGUUGAACUGUAGGGAGAUGGGUUAACACCUUUCUUUCACUUUUUCAUACUCUUAAAGUCUGAGAAUGAAGUCUUGGUUAAAACCAAAAUAUAAUUUUCAACAACGGAUCUCUUGGCUCUCGCAUCGAUGAAGAACGCAGC